GCCUUCUCUUUUCUGCCGUUGUCCUUAUAAAAAAGAUCUGUUAUGUCUUAUUAUGUUUUUCCACCUCCAAGAUGAAUCUCUCGUCGUCCUUGGUGUUUUAAAAGAGACAUAUACGAUAUUGGGGGGUGUGUUGUGGUAAAUUGACUGGAUGCUCUCGCUGUUUCACUUCCUGCCCGGCUGUCCAAACACCCCGUGGCUCACGUGAAAAUAGACCUGGCACGUAUCUUUAGCGGAGCGGAGAGCUGCUUCAUGGGACGCGCCGUGGUGCGGCUGGUGGAUUAUCAAGCCUUAACUUGGAUGGCCGUGAUU